UACGUAGGGGCCUAGCGUUGUCCGGAAUUAUUGGGCGUAAAGAGCUCGGUAGGCGGGUUCGGCAAGUCGGAUGUGAAAUCUCCACGCUUAACGGUGGAGGGGCCAUUCGAAACUGCUGUGACUCGAGUCCGGGUAGGGGAGUGUGGAAUUCCCGGUGUAGCGGUGAAAUGCGUAGAUAUCGGAAGGAACACCUGUGGCGAAAGCGGCUCACUGGACCACAACGUGAACGCUGAUGCAACGAAAGGCUAGGGGAGCAAACAGG
rnacentral:rRNA from 1 species